rnacentral:rRNA from 1 species
UUGAACGCUGGCGGCAUGCCUUACACAUGCAAGUCGAACGGCAGCACGGGAGCAAUCCUGGUGGCGAGUGGCGAACGGGUGAGUAAUAUAUCGGAACGUGCCCGGUCGUGGGGGAUAACGUAGCGAAAGCUACGCUAAUACCGCAUACGAUCUACGGAUGAAAGCGGGGGAUCGCAAGACCUCGCGCGAUUGGAGCGGCCGAUAUCAGAUUAGGUAGUUGGUGAGGUAAAGGCUCACCAAGCCGACGAUCUGUAGCUGGUCUGAGAGGACGAUCAGCCACACUGGGACUGAGACACGGCCCAGACUCCUACGGGAGGCAGCAGUGGGGAAUUUUGGACAAUGGGCGCAAGCCUGAUCCAGCAAUGCCGCGUGCAGGAUGAAGGCCUUCGGGUUGUAAACUGCUUUUGUACGGAACGAAACGGUGAGCUUUAAUACAGUUUGCUAAUGACGGUACCGUAAGAAUAAGCACCGGCUAACUACGUG